UAGCAUAUCAAUAAGCGGAGGAAAAGAAACCAACAGGGAUUGCCUCAGUAACGGCGAGUGAAGCGGCAACAGCUCAAAUUUGAAAUCUGGCUCCCGGGCCCGAGUUGUAAUUUGCAGAGGAUGUUUCUGGCGAGGUGCCUUCCGAGUUCCUUGGAACAGGACGCCGAAGAGGGUGAGAGCCCCGUCCGGUUGGUCGCUAAGCCUCUGUGAAACUCCUUCGACGAGUCGAGUAGUUUGGGAAUGCUGCUCUAAAUGGGAGAUAUACGUCUUCUAAAGCUAAAUACCGGCCAGAGACCGAUAGCGCACAAGUAGAGUGAUCGAAAGAUGAAAAGCACUUUGAAAAGAGGGUUAAAUAGUACGUGAAAUUGUUGAAAGGGAAGCGUUUAUGACCAGACUUGGGCCGGUUGAUCAUCCAUCGUUCUCGGUGGUGCACUCUGCCGGUCCAGGCCAGCAUCAGUUCGCCCCGGGGGAUAAAGGUUUCGGGAAUGUGGCUCCUCCGGGAGUGUUAUAGCCCGUUGCGUAAUACCCUGGGGUGGACUGAGGUUCGCGCUCCGCAAGGAUGCUGGCGUAAUGGUCAUCAGCGACCCGUCUUGAAACACGGACCAAGGAGUCGUCUUCGUAUGCGAGUGUUCGGGUGUCAAACCCCUACGCGGAAUGAAAGUGAACGUAGGAGAGAGCUUCGGCGCAUCUCCGACCGAUCCUGAUGUUCUCGGAUGGAUUUGAGUAAGAGCAUACGGGGCCGGACCCGAAAGAAGGUGAACUAUGCCUGUAUAGGGUGAAGCCAGAGGAAACUCUGGUGGAGGCUCGCAGCGGUUCUGACGUGCAAAUCGAUCGUCAAAUAUGGGCAUGGGGGCGAAAGACUAAUCGAACCUUCUAGUAGCUGGUUUCCGCGA
rnacentral:rRNA from 1 species